rnacentral:lncRNA from 1 species
CUCCGAGGAAAAUUCAAAACUGCAAGUCCCUAUUUCAAUGGCAAAAUCAAAUGAUAAAACACAUCAAACGAAAGGACAACAAAUGUCAUAUUCCUGAUUUGGUACAGGCAUUCUCAAAUGUAGAAAAUGGUGGAUGAAACCAGGUUUAAAAGCGCUAAAUCUCUCACUUGUAUGACAGUUGCAUCAAACUCCAUUAAAUUUAUAACGAUGCGUCUAGAAUUAGAACAAAAUUCUAAAACAUUAUACGGAAUCAACGCAUAGUUAAUUGGGUUUUAUUUUUGCAUUUUUUCAUAUAAUGGUUUACGUUUUCU